GACAGAGGCCCCAAGCGUUAGGCGGAAUCACUGGGCUUAAAGCGUGUGUAGGCGGACCUGUAAGUUAGAGGUGAAAGCCCGGGGCUCAACUCCGGAACUGCCUUUAAGACUGCAUCGCUUGAAUCCGGGAGAGGUGAGUGGAAUUCCGAGUGUAGAGGUGAAAUUCGUAGAUAUUCGCAAGAACACCAGUGGCGAAGGCGGCUCACUGGCCCGGUACUGACGCUGAGGUGCGAAAGCGUGGGGAGCAAACAGG
rnacentral:rRNA from 1 species